rnacentral:rRNA from 1 species
ACUUUUGCGGAUUUCUUCGGAUUGAAGCAAUUGUGACUGAGCGGCGGACGGGUGAGUAACGCGUGGGUAACCUGCCUCAUACAGGGGGAUAACAGUUGGAAACGGCUGCUAAUACCGCAUAAGCGCACAGUACCGCAUGGUACCGUGUGAAAAACUCCGGUGGUAUGAGAUGGACCCGCGUCUGAUUAGGUAGUUGGUGGGGUAACGGCCUACCAAGCCGACGAUCAGUAGCCGACCUGAGAGGGUGACCGGCCACAUUGGGACUGAGACACGGCCCAAACUCCUACGGGAGGCAGCAGUGGGGAAUAUUGCACAAUGGGGGAAACCCUGAUGCAGCGACGCCGCGUGAGCGAUGAAGUAUUUCGGUAUGUAAAGCUCUAUCAGCAGGGAAGAAAAUGACGGUACCUGACUAAGAAGCCCCGGCUAACUACGUGCCAGCAGCCGCGGUAAUACGUAGGGGGCAAGCGUUAUCCGGAUUUACUGGGUGUAAAGGGAGCGUAGACGGCAUGGCAAGCCAGAUGUGAAAGCCCGGGGCUCAACCCCGGGACUGCAUUUGGAACUGUCAGGCUAGAGUGUCGGAGAGGAAAGCGGAAUUCCUAGUGUAGCGGUGAAAUGCGUAGAUAUUAGGAGGAACACCAGUGGCGAAGGCGGCUUUCUGGACGAUGACUGACG